rnacentral:misc_RNA from 1 species
CGCACAUUGCGCCCGCUAGUAUUCUGGCGGGCAUGCCUGUCCGAGCGUCAUUUCAACCCUCGAGAACCCCUUCGCGGGGGGAUCGGUGUUGGGGAUCGACCGCCCUCAGCGGCGGACGUCCCCUAAAACUAGUGGCGGUCUCGCUGUAGCCUCCUCUGCGCAGUAGCUCUGUAUUCUCGCAGCCUGGAGAGCGGCGCGGCCACGCCGUUAAACCCCAACUUUUUCAAGGUUGACCUCGGAUCAGGUAGGAAUACCCGCUGAACUUAA